UGAAUGCUAGCCGUUGGUGGGUUUACCCUUCAGUGGCGCAGCUAACGCUUUAAGCAUUCCGCCUGGGGAGUACGGUCGCAAGAUUAAAACUCAAAGGAAUUGACGGGGGCCCGCACAAGCGGUGGAGCAUGUGGUUUAAUUCGACGCAACGCGCAGAACCUUACCAGCUCUUGACAUGUCCAGGACCGGUCGCAGAGAUGCGGUCUUCCCUUCGGGGCCUGGAACACAGGUGCUGCAUGGCUGUCGUCAG
rnacentral:rRNA from 1 species